GCAUGGUCAUGCUCAUCGUCACCCUGCAUAUCAUCCCACCCACCCUCUCUCCUGGCUGAAAGCUGUGGUCAGACUCAUGCUGAUCUGGGCUGAUGUCAAGCACUGUACUGCUUUUGGAGAUCGAUCGAUCGUUGAGCUCAAGCUCUUGGCGUAUUCCGACGUCGACGUUCGUAGGCCAAGCUUAAUCAUGUCAAGCUCCUAACCUUUAAAUUCAUCAAAUCAAUGUCAGGAAGUAGGGUUUUAAAUCCUAUCAGAUUUUAGGUGGAGAAAUUGGUUUACACAAAGCGUUGAAGGACAGAUCAACCCCUGAAGUCAGCAGUGAUACUAGCGACUGGUGAAACGGCUAGUACAAGGAGCGAAUUCGGCACGUGGCUCCAAGUUAGUAAAUGGAUAUACUAGUAUUGAUGCUAAUGUUGUGUCUCUCUCUAUGAAAAAAGAGACAUGUAUUAUUCUCAUGACAUGUGGCUAAUUCCUAAAGUUACAACGAUAGAGGAUGUGUUAAUGUUAGCGGGUCCACAAAUUUACACACAGGCACUGGUUUGACAUUGAUGCAGGGUGUGUGGUGGAAAUUCCUGUCGAUAACUGAUGAACUUCCAGGAGAGUCAAACGUGGAAGUUAUACCAUAAUUUUUAGCAAAGUUGUUUUCGACA